UACGAAGGGGGCUAGCGUUGCUCGGAAUGACUGGGCGUAAAGGGCGCGUAGGCGGCAAUUCAAGUCAGCUGUGAAAAUCUCCGGGCUUAACUCGGAACGGUCAGCUGAUACUGCUUUUUUGCUAGAGUACAGAAAGGGGCAAUCGGAAUUCUUGGUGUAGCGGUGAAAUGCGUAGAUAUCAAGAGGAACACCUGAGGUGAAGACGGGUUGCUGGGCUGAUACUGACGCUGAGGCGCGAAAGCUAGGGUAGCAAACGGG
rnacentral:rRNA from 1 species